rnacentral:lncRNA from 1 species
AUGGAUACAGCCAGCGACUCCGUCGGGGAGAGUAAGCCGGUGUGUCAGUGUGCCCCCAAGUCUGCGGUCCGGCGGUGGUUGCCAGGUUUCCCCAUCGCCUUGUGCCUGCUCAUGUCCCUGAGCUCCAUCACCGUGUGUCUCCUGAUGAGCCUCAAGACCUUCCAGCUGGAGAACCGACUGCAGAUGGAGAUGGACAAAGCGUCCGUCUUCAGCCCGCCGCACGGGGCUUUUCUAAAGGAGGACGGGACCCUGAUCCCGGAGCUGAGCCGGUCAAUAGGGAAGCUCGUGGAAGAGAAAGUGGUGGUGCUGAUGCCAAAAAUGAGGACAGCGAGGGAUGUUGGACAGCAAGAGUGCUCCUGCCCUCCAGGGCCUCCGGGAAAGCGUGGAAGGAUGGGAAGAAGAGGGGAACCUGGACCUCACCAGGGCAAGGCUGGACGGGAUGGAUACCCGGUAAAUUUGAUUUGUUAUUUAUCAUGUCACUCUUCAAUUCACCCAAUCAUGGUACUAUUCUCCCUUCAGUUGUUUUCCAACUCUUCUCACACCUAUAUAAGGCCUCUGUGUUUUUCCUACCCUGCUCUUUUUAAAGAAAUUACCUUUAGAGUAAUCGCUGCCUGUUUUCUUGCCUCUUCAACACUUGUUCUUCAUCAAUGA